UCAAGACAUAUCCAACGGAUCACCGUCGACCCCGUUCGAUAUCGGAGCCGGACACGUAAAUCCAACGGCUGCCCUCGAUCCCGGCCUUGUUUACGAUACCACCACCGACGACUACUUGGCCUUCCUCUGUGCCCUAAACUACAGCUCACUUCAAAUUAAAGUAAUCAGCAAGAAAGAUUUCACAUGCAAUGGAAACAAGAACUACAAAUUGGAGGAUUUAAACUACCCUUCAUUUGCAGUUCCAUUAGAAACACCUUCCACCAGAGGAGGUGAAAAUGUUGCUCCCACCACCAUAAAAUAUACAAGGACCCUGACCAACAAGGGUGCUUCAUCGACGUAUAAAGUGUCAGUGACGGCGAAAAGUUCAUCG
rnacentral:lncRNA from 1 species